rnacentral:lncRNA from 1 species
GAAAGGGGGUGAGUUUGGAAACUCAGUGUGCAACAAGCCCCUUUCAGAGCCCAAAACAAUAACAGCCUGUUGGGUCUAAGCCCAAAUCCAAUCUCAAACAUGUACUGGGCCAUAGCCCUUUUCAUAUUUCAUAUUUCAUAACACUGGGCCGAAGCCUUUUCAAAUUUCAUAUUACUGGGCCGAAGCCUUUACUGUAAAUGGUAUGGCCCAUAGGCCCAUUUCAAUAUCACAUAUAAUGUCAAUGAAAGAAUGCAAGCCCAAUUGGGGAGACUACUCAACCCACCAUCCGCUACUCUCC